rnacentral:rRNA from 1 species
UACGGGGGGAGCAAGCGUUGUUCGGAUUUACUGGGCGUAAAGGGCGCGUAGGCGGCGCAACAAGUCACUUGUGAAAUCUCCGGGCUUAACCCGGAGCGGCCAAGUGAUACUGUCGUGCUAGAGUGCGGUAGGGGCUACUGGAAUUCUCGGUGUAGCGGUGAAAUGCGUAGAUAUCGAGAGGAACACCUGCGGCGAAGGCGGGUAGCUGGGCCGACACUGACGCUGAGGCGCGAAAGCCAGGGGAGCGAACGGG